rnacentral:rRNA from 1 species
AACGCUGGCGGCAGGCCUAACACAUGCAAGUCGAGCGGUAGCACAAGAGAGCUUGCUCUCUGGGUGACGAGCGGCGGACGGGUGAGUAAUGUCUGGGAAACUGCCUGAUGGAGGGGGAUAACUACUGGAAACGGUAGCUAAUACCGCAUAACGUCUUCGGACCAAAGUGGGGGACCUUCGGGCCUCACGCCAUCAGAUGUGCCCAGAUGGGAUUAGCUAGUAGGUGGGGUAAUGGCUCACCUAGGCGACGAUCCCUAGCUGGUCUGAGAGGAUGACCAGCCACACUGGAACUGAGACACGGUCCAGACUCCUACGGGAGGCAGCAGUGGGGAAUAUUGCACAAUGGGCGCAAGCCUGAUGCAGCCAUGCCGCGUGUGUGAAGAAGGCCUUCGGGUUGUAAAGCACUUUCAGCGAGGAGGAAGGGUAGUGUGUUAAUAGCACAUUGCAUUGACGUUACUCGCAGAAGAAGCACCGGCUAACUCCGUGCCAGCAGCCGCGGUAAUACGGAGGGUGCAAGCGUUAAUCGGAAUUACUGGGCGUAAAGCGCACGCAGGCGGUUUGUUAAGUCAGAUGUGAAAUCCCCGCGCUUAACGUGGGAACUGCAUUUGAAACUGGCAAGCUAGAGUCUUGUAGAGGGGG